rnacentral:snRNA from 13 species
GGCUCUGCCAUUGCACUGAGGCAGUACUGACCCUUGCGAAUUCCCCAAAUGUGGGAAUCUCGACUGCAUAAUUUCUGUUAUAAUUUCUGAUAUUU